AACUGAACCACCCAGGUGUCCCUUGAAGCAACUUGUUAAGGCUUAUGGGGACUGUGGUUUCCAUGAGGAGGGCACUCAGCCUCAUGUCACCAAUAGAUUGCUAUAGUGUACUGGGGACUAACACUUGGACUUUUGCCAGCGACAUUUUCUAAAAGGGAGAUAGUCUGGAAGAAGUUGGCAUCAGUGUGAUGGGAUCAGUUGAGAAGGGAGGUAACAGUUGAGCAGCCCCGACUGACUUUGCCAUUGCUGGCAUAGACAAUCGCUCACAUCCCAGCAUAGUCUGUUGGAGGAAAUACCCAAUACUCCUGGUUGGGAAGAACC